GAAGUAAUUAGAAGUGAACUUCUAAUUCACCACUUUAUGGUCUUACCAUAUUACUUCU
rnacentral:tRNA from 1 species